UCAAAAAAUAUGGCCCAAUACCAAAAUGUGGCCCAAAACAAAAAAUAUCUAGGCUGUUAUCGAGAACCUUCUUUCCGUUUUAGACCGGAAUUCCUUAACUAGUACGAACACAUGGCACACCGACUCGGCGUUUGAUUCGGGAACUACCUCAUCCAAUCUCCACCGUUCCAUCUAUUUAUAACUAACCCAUCGCAGCCGUUGAUUCACUCAGAUUCCACUAUAUAAAACGACCUUAACCUUUUCUCCCUCCACAAUCGUCAGAGACGCGCGCGUAAAUCCCAAUCGACGCCAUAACAACCCUUCUCUCCCUCUCUGCGAUGCGGUCAAAGCCAUGUUUCCGUAUCUGUUAUCACGGAUCAAACCUCGAUCUGGCUAUUAGGCAUGGAUCAUUGAAGGAUCUCUCCAUGGAUCGGUUUCGAUCGCGUUGAAUGGUUCUGGUUCGAGGCAUCUUGGAUCUGUUUUGGAUUUUCGACGAUUUGAAGAAUCUGAUCGUGUUUUCUUAGCAAGGGUUUUGGUUGCGCGGAGCUGAUGAUCGUUGAUUUUUCUUGUGGAUUGUGGCGGUGAAGGAUCUCAUCCGGUGGUUCUUGGAGGCAGAGGGUUUUCCGCGGCGGAAUUUGGCGGUAGAGGAUCUGGAUCUUUCUGGAAAUUAACAGUUUUAACACAUGGAUGCGCGAUCUUUGUUGUAUCAAUCAAUAAAAAGGUGUUAUAUGGAAUGUUAUGUGGAACUGAAUGGAGGUUAGGGUUUUGGGAGAAAGAUAUGUCUUAGGCGUAUUGAUGCAGCCUUAAAGGUAUAUGAUCUUGUUAGUUUUUUAUUUUUUCAUUCUUUUGUUACCAUCAGGCCUUUGCCAUGUCAGGUGCGCUUGCAUGGCAGGU